AUUGAACGCUGGCGGCAUGCCUUACACAUGCAAGUCGAACGGUAACGGGCCUUCGGGUGCCGACGAGCGGCGAACGGGUGAGUAAUACAUCGGAACGUGCCCGAUCGUGGGGGAUAACGAGGCGAAAGCUUUGCUAAUACCGCAUACGAUCUACGGAUGAAAGCAGGGGACCGCAAGGCCUUGCGCGGACGGAGCGGCCGAUGGCAGAUUAGGUAGUUGGUGGGAUAAAAGCUUACCAAGCCGACGAUCUGUAGCUGGUCUGAGAGGAUGAUCAGCCACACUGGGACUGAGACACGGCCCAGACUCCUACGGGAGGCAGCAGUGGGGAAUUUUGGACAAAGGGCGCAAGCCUGAUCCAGCCAUGCCGCGUGCAGGAUGAAGGCCUUCGGGUUGUAAACUGCUUUUGUACGGAACGAAAAGCCUUCUUUUAAUACAGGAGGGUCAUGACGGUACCGUAAGAAUAAGCACCGGCUAACUACGUG
rnacentral:rRNA from 1 species